AGUUGCGCAGCCGUUUUUGCACUGACCUGGGAGGGUUGAGCAAAGUCGCCGCCUCGCCGCGAGGAUCGGUUGCUGCCAAGGACCGAGCGAGCUGCUAGAAAGCGCCCGAGGCAAAGAAGGUGCCCUGGAUUCGCCGGCGGCAGCGUGGGAAGUGGGCGGGGCUUCGAGGCAGCCUUUGCUUUGCCCGCAAAUUAUUGUCCUCGUUCCGAGGGCUGGCGGAGCGCUCAGGGGUGACAACUGUGACUCAUCCCCCGCCAGAUCCUCAGGAAGCCCAGAUCAAAUGACUGCUUCCCUCCGUCACCUGGCAAUGGCUGCAUGAACCGAGUUCAGUUAUGCUGAAGCAAAGAAAAUAUCACUUUAGGGAAAACUUGAAAUAGAUGCUGUUCCUCAAAUCCUGUUCUAUGGCCCUCAAUUAACUGCACCAAUUAGUUCCUCGAAACAGUUUUCCAGACAAAUGCAUGUUUCAUUUUUGUUAUAGGCUCCUUUUGUGACAAGCUUAGAACGAUGUUCAGUUUAUGCCUAAGUACAAUGUUUUGGGGAAGAGGAGAGAGAACUAUAUGUAUUUCAAUAUAUUUCAAACAUAACAGGUAUCUGUUUUGAACAAUUUAAGUAGUUGUCUUAGAACCUUUGCUCAUCAAAUUUCUUAGGGAAACUUGAGCAGGAAGAUUCAUAUCUUCAGGCUAUAAAGUCAGCCAAAGAUACAGAACUUAGUACUGACAUGUGGAGAAGGAGAAGACUAUUUUAAUACAAUCCUAUUAUGGUUUUUGUUUGCUUCACAUUCUGUGAAUCUGUGGAUUCUGUCUCUCUCUUUUAGCGUGCUAUAGAACUGCCUUGAAUUUGAUUGAACUGCGUUCACAAUACCUGUUUGUUUAUUUCAUCAAUUGAUCCAUUUACCUUGACACAACAUACAACUACAUACAAAGUUAAAAAUAGCAAUAUCUAAAAAGAUCUUUAAAAACUAAAAUACAAAGCAGCAUCAAUAAAAUCUGCUUCUUUCACA
rnacentral:lncRNA from 1 species